CCCGUCUCAGGAUCGCACCUGAAGAGUUUCCAGUACUCUACUAGUCUCGGCUACGGGAGGGAGAGUCAAGCAGAAGCAUACCCAUUCCAUUCCUAGCUUGGGCAGUGGCUAGUGAGUGGAAAGCAGUCUGCUAUAAGU